UCCUUACAGGGCAGAUGGCUUUGAAUUUUAUAAAUUGGUUAGGUGUGGGGACAUGAUCAAUAGUUUGAUGAUUUGACUAAGUAAAAUGUGCUGAAAAAAAAUCACCUGUAGGGAGGUCUUGGAUGACUCUGCACAUUCUUGAACCUGAAAAUCCAAACUGUGAGUCAUAUUGAGACUAACAAAGUUAAUAUAUGCCACCAAAGGAGAAGGCUAUAUCAUCUCAGGGAAACAAUUUUUGACUGUAGUUAGUAUUUAGGAAAUAAUGCAUUCGUUGAAAGGUAAAACUGGCAGUAGGCUUACGAUGGCAAUGGGCAGUGCCAGCAGUGGCUGUGGCAUCCUGGAGCAGGAAGAUUUGGUGCAGUUCUAGUGCAGCACAGGCCAGAGUGACGAUUCUGACAUUUGGGAUGCUAUAGCACUGAUAAAAGUGGAUAAUAAAGCUGUGGCUUCAUUUAAACAGGCUCUAAAGAAUGAUGACAUUUGCGAAAUUUCAGAUAAACCAAAAAGCAUGCCUAGUAGAAAACCUGCUAAGAAGAAUAAAAGCCAAGAAAAGAACACUGCAACUUUCUUGAAGUAGUAGAAAGUUCGGGACAAAUGUUCUGCCAUUUGGUCAGAAGACAGCUGCAUUUACCCAGCUACCAUUGCUUCAAUUGAUAUGAAGAGAGAAAGCUGUGUUGUGGUUUACACUGGAUGUGGAAAUAGGAGCAAAUCUGUCUGAUCUACUUUAUUCAACCUCUGUAGCUAAUAAUAUAGGACAGAAUGCUCAAGAGAAUGAAAAUGAAAGUCAAGAUUCAGUGCUACUCCAUGGAAUUCUGGGACCAGGAAAGCCAGGUCAGGUCUAAAAUUCAAUAGCCCACCACCCACACCACCCCACUUCCUAUCAUGCUUGCUGCCUCCAUUUCCUUCUGGGCCACCAAAACUUCCCCCACCACCUCCCACAUGUCUAGAUUUUCUUUAUGAUAUUAAUGCUUUAGGAAGUAUGCUAAUCUCUUGGUCCAUGAGUGGCUAGCAUACUGGCUAUUAUACAGGGUUGAGGCAAAAUUAAAAAGAGAGAGGGUGCUCACAUUCCAAUUAA